rnacentral:rRNA from 1 species
UGGUGGAGUGAUUUGUCUGGUUAAUUCCGUUAACGAACGAGACCCCCGCCUGCUAAAUAACUUUGCUAAUGCUUUUGUAUUGGUUGGAGUUUCUUAGAGGGACUUUCGGUGACUAACUGAAGGAAGUUGGGGGCGAAUAACA